CAAAAUACAACCCUCUCCGACAUAAAUCCAGGCCCUCCCACCAGACAGCGAUCUCUCCCUCUCCCACAUAAAUCCAGGCCCUAAUCUCUCUCCCAUUCCAAUGCCAACCCUAGACUCGAUCUCAAACGGAAACAAUCUCUCCUAUUCUCCAAACCUUCUCAUCGCCAUUUGCCUCUCAAACUCCAAUUCCCUCCUGAUCUCCUCCUCCAUCAUUCUAUUCUGAGCGAUCUCUCUCUCGCAAGGAUCUCCUCUCUCAUCCGAUCCCGCCGGACCUCCUCCAUCAGGACUUCUGCUCUUGACGUCAUCACCGGCGGGGCGAAGCCGGAGCUCCAGAUGCCGAUUCCGCCCGAGAUCAGGAACCAAAUCAAACUUUGAAGGAAAAAAAAAAUCUAAAAUUAGGGUUUUUGUUGGGUACCUGGAAGAGCCUGCUCAGCCCUAAAGGAUCUAAAAGAAAUCAAACUAAUUCUUCACCUCUUCUCAUAGCACCGUCGAGCUCCAAUCCUCGAGCCCUAAAAGCCUAUCUCUCUCUUCCCCGCAAAAGACCUCUCCAGAGUUCUCAGCUCAUCAGCUGAGGUAAAGCUUAUGACUUCAAGGCUGUUAAAAGGUGGACUACCCAGAGAAAGAUAGGGUACGACCUUAUUGAAUGUGACAAAGUAAAGAAGUUGUAACCCUUUGCGCACACCACAAACAGUAAAAAAAUAGGCUUUUGACUCCAAAGACCUCGAAGACAAAGACGACAAGGGGUCAUUAAUGCAGUAAGAUGAGAAUUAUUGUUCACAAUCUCUCAAGGAUAUCCCAUUUAUGUGAUCAUGUCAUCUAAGAAUGCGCCUUCAAGGAUCAACAGGUGAUGGAGAAGGUCGUUAAGAAGAUCUCGGACUAGGAAAUUUCCUCGCCUAAAUAAUUCAAUACCCCUUUUAAACCUGCAAUAGUUCUAUUUCAGGUUUUACUCCUAUUCCUCUUCUUUUUUCCUGGCUUUGUUUCUUUUUUUCCCCUAAUGAUAAAUAUACGAUAUUAUAAUGUUUGUCUUUGAGGCACGAUAUAGUUAUAAGAGGUUAGUUUGCAUUAUUUUGUUUGCUGAAGUAAAAUAUGCAUCAAGAGAGAACUCCUCCAUAAAAAUACAUGAUUGAUUGUCACUAUUACCCUAAAUUAGACAUUUAUUGUGAAAAAGAAAGAAAAUUUCCCAAAUAAACCUUUAUUACCCUAAAUUACUCCCUCAAUAUUCUAUUUCUCUCCUAACUCACACAAGAAAGCAACUCUCUUUAUGGGGCAACCUCUUUUCUCUUUUUUGCACUUCACCCAUUCUAAAGUGUUUUUAAUGAUAACAAUAUUGAUUUCCUAUCUAAAUUUGCAUUAUGUUGUUCUUUGAAUUUUCUAUUUGAGUUCAAUAUUGUUCUUAGUACAAUUUAAUUCUAAAUAUUACCUCAUUUUUGUUUGGGAAAGUGGAGAAAUACAUUACUUCUUUUGAUUUCAAUGGUUUUAGGAAUAAAUAAACAAAGGAUGAAGAAAUGGAUUUAGAGGAUGAUUCAUUUCAUUUCAUUUUCUUUGCGUCACUUGCUAAUGGCCUUAUUAAUUUUAUAUUUUAUUUUUGUUGUCAUCUAGAUUAGAAUCUUGGUCCUGAGUCAAAAAAUUAAGAUUGCAAAUGUUUGUGAGAUUCCUCUGAGCUCUGUCACUUCGAUUAUUGAUGGCUUGAAGAAACUAUAUAUUGAAAAUUUGAAGUCAUUGGAAGUUACCUAUCAAUUUAAUGAUUUUGCUUCUCCUUUGCUGGGGCUCAUAUAGGACUGGAGCCCACAACCGAUAGAUUUAUUGUGGUCAUGAAACAGAAAAUAGAAGGAGAUAAAUAGGACAGAGGAUAGUGCACAGGAAAGGAAGUGAUAAGUAUAAACAAACAUGGUCUAUUUUUCGAAGGUAUUUCCUCUUUCAAAAUUGGUUGUUUUUCGAAGGCAUUCGUAUCUGGAUUUUAUAAACUGAUAUGUGUGCCAUAAUUUUAUAUUUUUUACCAUAAUUUAUGUGCUAAUUUAAUUAUGAUACGAAUGUUAUUUCUUUUUUUUGUUGGCCAUGUUUCGGUUUUUAGGCUUCAUGGUUUUCUCAUCAAUCUAGCAACAUCCUUCUCAAAUCAUGUUUAUGUUGUUUUCUAAGUAUAAGUUGAAAUUAGAAUGAAUUGAAUAUUUAGCUGCCCAUGGUUUCUCAAAUUAUGUUCAUGGUUUUUUACUAUUCUUGGCAAGAUGUCACAAUAGACAUGGAUGCCUAUUAGCACAAGAGAAUAAUUUAUAACAACUUUAUGUACGUGUCAUAUGGGAAAUUUGUUUAUACAUAAAGUUUAAUAUGCUUUAUAAUUUUAAUUGUACAAUAAUAAUAUGUAAUUAAAAAUAAGAGGAGGGGUGUUCCAAGUGCAAUGGUAGAAAAGAGGCGAGGGCCGUGCUUGGCACGGGGUACAUACUAGUGUAUUGUAUAUUACAUCCAUUGAGCAAAUGAGAAAGAAAUUGAACGCAGGAUCUUUACCUUAGGGGUGGCAGUUUUUGACCCGACCCAUCAACCCGACCCGACCCGACCCGUUUAUAUUGGGUAUGAGUCAAGUUA